rnacentral:rRNA from 1 species
AACGAACGCUGGCGGCAUGCCUAACACAUGCAAGUCGAACGAGACCUUCGGGUCUAGUGGCGCACGGGUGCGUAACGCGUGGGAACCUGCCCUUAGGUUCGGAAUAACUCCCCGAAAGGGGUGCUAAUACCGGAUAAUGUCUUCGGACCAAAGAUUUAUCGCCUUUGGAUGGGCCCGCGUUGGAUUAGCUAGUUGGUAGGGUAAAAGCCUACCAAGGCGACGAUCCAUAGCUGGUCUGAGAGGAUGAUCAGCCACACUGGGACUGAGACACGGCCCAGACUCCUACGGCAGGCAGCAGUGGGGAAUAUUGGACAAUGGGCGAAAGCCUGAUCCAGCAAUGCCGCGUGAGUGAUGAAGGCCUUAGGGUUGUAAAGCUCUUUUACCCGGGAUGAUAAUGACAGUACCGGGAGAAUAAGCUCCGGCUAACUCCGUG